rnacentral:lncRNA from 1 species
NNNNNNNNNNNNNNNNNNNNNNNNNNNNNACUCACACCUAAAAAGGUGGUUGCUCCAAAAUUUAUGUGUUCCUUUUGCUUAGCAAUUGGUGAGGGAAAUCCCAGCCAGGAUAGUAAUUUAUCAGCCAAGGUUGCAUCUGGCUUCUCAGCUGUGCAGUCUCCCUGAAAACUUCAAGAGUCAUGUCCGUGCAAAGUGGAAAUACAACAUCCAGCGGGAAAACAAAAAACAAAAAACAAAAAACAAAAAACAAAAACAAGAAAAAAAAACCCGCAAAAGACAAAAAACCGAAAAACUAAGAGCAAGAGCUUUGGAGUCUGUCAGAAUGGGGUUCAAAUUCUGGUUGUACCAUGAAUUAACUGGUACUUUACCCUUCUGAGGCUAAGGUUUCCUUAUCUAUAAGAUAUAUAGAUAAAGAUACAUAUAUUAUAUAUAAUAUAUCUAGAUAUAUAGAUAAGAUAUAUAUUAUUAUGUAUAUUUAAUACUGCCUCAUGCUAUUGAUUGAGUUAAAUAAGAUAAUAUGCUUAGUCAGGUAGUAGGUACUUAGCAGAUGCUAAAAGAGGUGUUAAGUGUUAAGCCGGAAUUUGCAAUGGAGACUGCCUGACUCUAAAUCUCAUACCCUUUACACUUAACACUUUCAUGUCCAUAUGGUUGCUACUUCCUCCCUGUAAAAUUUUAGGCACGU